GUUGAGUGUAAGUGCACAAGGGAGCUUGACUGUGAGACCGACGGGUCGAGCAGGGACGAAAGUCGGGACUAGUGAUCCGGCAGUGGCUUGUGGAAGCGCUGUCGCUCAACGGAUAAAAGGUACCCCGGGGAUAACAGGCUGAUCUUCCCCAAGAGUCCAUAUCGACGGGAUGGUUUGGCACCUCGAUGUCGGCUCGUCGCAUCCUGGGGCUGGAGUCGGUCCCAAGGGUUGGGCUGUUCGCCCAUUAAAGCGGUACGCGAGCUGGGUUUAGAACGUCGUGAGACAGUUCGGUCCCUAUCCGCUGUGCGCGUAGGAAUAUUGAGAAGGGCUGUCCCUAGUACGAGAGGACCGGGACGGACGAACCUCUGGUGUGCCAGUUGUUCUGCCAAGGGCAUGGCUGGUUGGCUACGUUCGGAAAGGAUAACCGCUGAAAGCAUCUAAGCGGGAAGCCUGCUUCGAGAUGAGUAUUCCCACCAACUUGAUUGGUUAAGGCUCCCAGUAGACGACUGGGUUGAUAGGCCAGAUGUGGAAGCCCGGUAACGGGUGGAGCUGACUGGUACUAAUAGGCCGAGGGCUUGUCCUCAGUUG
rnacentral:rRNA from 1 species